ensembl:lncRNA novel transcript
AGAACGUACCUACUAAUGAUAAAAGUCCAAGUGGAGGUCUGAGUUUGAGAGCCAAAUGACCUGCUGAUUGAAUUGCAGAACCAGGCCAACUUUUUCAAGCACUCUUCAGUCUAGGUUAGAAGAGGCAAAAAUUGAAGACCUACAUUUGUACUGUUCAACAAAGUAGCCAUGGGCCAAAGUGGCUGUUGAGCACUUGAAAGGUAAAAAUUGGCUCAUGAAGACUUUUAUUUAAGGAGUAUUGCCAAAGAUAGUUUCUUGAAGCAUGUACAUUUAUUUUUACUGAAAACUGCCUUUUUCUGGUUUAAAGCUGCUCUUUGAAAAUUCAUAAAAUGUUUAUAUUUUUAUGGUACUGUACAUUUGUGUGUAUCAUUUAUAAAAAUUCAGAAGAA